rnacentral:lncRNA from 1 species
AAUAAAAGAAACUAAAAAAAGAAGAAAAACAAGUGAGUGAGGUGGACAUCAUGGACAAAGAGAUGGCUUCAUGAUUUUUUUUAUUUAAAUUUAAACAAAACUCAUGACAGGUUAGUAAAAAAACCAAAAUAAAAUCCUUUUCUUCCUCACGAGCGAACAAAACAGAAGGAGAAAAAUCUUCUCUUUACUCUCUCCCUAUCUCGAUCUCUCUCUCAAGCAAAC